ensembl:lncRNA
AUGCCUUUUCAAGGUUCCCAGUAUUGGAGACAAAACUCCAGAAAAAUUAACGCGAUGCCAAUGAGCCAUUUUUCCAGGCUUCAGCACAGACGAAAAAGAAUGAGGGAAGAAGAUUCCGGAUUGCAGGAUAUUCUAGAAAAAACCGAGGAGGUGUUGGAGGCAUCUCAAGGUCUAGAGAGUGUCGCUUUCAGACUCCGAGAGCUUACCACCCUGACCACAAGAGAAAGAACUCAAAUCAACAUGCAGCAGGCAUCACAGCUCAAGGAGGCUUUUACCUGCCUUGUUUGUAGAGAGAUCAUCAAUGAGCCAGUGCUGUCGGAAUGUUGCCGGAGCAUAGUUGGAUGUAGAGUCUGUAUUGAAGAAUGGACAUUAACCUUCAACCAGUGUUUGAAAUGCAGAUCUGAGUGCUCUCUACUUAAUAUCAUUCGGGUGGCUGGUCUGUCAACAGUUCUCGACUUGGUAAAAGAGUUAGUCUGAAACUGAAAUGUGUUUUGUAAUGCCUCUUUAAAGGAGUCUUUUUUUUUAUUUUAGUGUUCCGGGUUCUUAAAUCCUUACCUAUUUUUAGUUAGUAUGGAGAUGUUCUGUAACACCAAUGUUCCAUUACAUCAGGGCAAAGAAAGGAGAAUUGUUAAUUUUUUUAAAGAUAUUUUAUUUGUCUGCCCUCAUUUUCAAGGAAAAUUGUAUUUAACAUUGUUCAAUAAAUGCAGUUUAAUAAAUGUUCUAAGCA